AUGCCCCCACGUGCUGGUGUGUGUGCCGGGUGUGCACGUGAGUCCCCCCACCCCCACCCCCACCCCCACCACGCGGUGCUGACCCCUGUCCUUUCUGAUUCCCCCAGGGCCUCACGGGAGAGGACGGUCUGUCUGGAGGCUGCACGUGGCCGGCUGCGGGGCAUGGCGCGACUCGGGGAGCCCGUGGGAGCCUGGCUGGCCCUGGCCCUGGCCCUGGCCCUGAGUCCCGGCGGUGCAGCAGCCCCGGGGCAGGACUGCACGGGCGUCGAGUGCCCCCCGCUUGAGAACUGCAUCGAGGACGCGCUCGAGCCGGGGGCCUGCUGCGCCACGUGCGUGCAGCAGGGCUGUGCCUGCGAGGGCUACCAGUACUAUGACUGCUUGCAGGGCGGCUUCAUGCGCGGCCGCGUGCCCGCCGGCCAGUCCUACUUCGUGGACUUCGGCAGCACCGAGUGCUCCUGCCCGCCGGGCGGUGGCAAGAUCAGCUGCCAGUUCAUGCCCUGCCCGGAGCUGCCGCCCAACUGCAUCGAGGCCGUGGUGGCGGCCGACAGCUGCCCACAGUGCGGCCAGGUGGGCUGCGUCCACUCCGGCCGCAAGUACGCCGCCGGCCACACUGUCCGCCUGGCGCCCUGCCGGGCCUGCCACUGCCCCGACGCGGGCGGCGAGCUCAUCUGCUACCCGCUGCCCAGCUGCCACGGAGAUGCCACCCCCGGAAACACCUCGGACGCCGAGGAGGGCGACCCUGAGCGGCACUACGAGGACCCCUACAGCUACGACCAGGAGGUGGCCGAGGCGGAGGCCCUGGCGGGCGAGCUCCAGGCGGGCGCUGGGGGCCCGGCCGCUCUGGGAGGCGGGGGUCAGCCACCUUCAGCCCUCCAGGCCACUCUCUGGCCGGCCGCCCUCCCCAGGCCCACGGCAGCCGCCGCUCUGGGUCCCCCGGCCCCCGUGCAGGCCAAAGCCAGGAGAGUGACGGACAACGGUCAGGAAGACAGGGAGGCGCCGGCCAUCCGGGAGCAGCUGGCCGCAGGCGGCCCCCGGGGGCUGGAUGGACGGCCCACGGCAGGCCCGAUGCCGGCUCACCCUGUCCGGGAGGAGGGGGCCGAGGCCAGGGCCGGGGUGGAAGAGAACCUCAUCCCCGACGUGCAGGCCACGCACCGCAGUGCCGGGCCCCCUCCCACGCUCAGCGUGCCCAGCAUCCUCCUGACCGAGACCACGCAGGGCCCCCCCACAGACCCCACCGAGCCCAGUGCCCCUGCCGCCCUGACCACACUUCAGCGGGAGAUCCCCCGCGCCCCGCCCACCCAGGAAGUGCCCCAGCAGCCGGCCGGGCCCCGGUCCCGGCUGGAGGAGGAGGAGGACCCCAACUCCGUGCACUCUGUCCCGAGAGGCGGCCUGGAAGUGUCCACGAAGGACCUGAUCGAGACGUGCUGCGCAGCCGGGCAGCAGUGGGCCAUCGACAGCGACGAGUGCCUGGACAUCCCCGAGAGCAGCGCCGAGGGCGACGUGUGCAGGACGGCCCAGAAGCACUGCUGCGUGUCCUACUUGAAGGAGAAGAGCUGCAUGGCUGGCGUGCUGGGCGCCAAGGAGGGCGAGGCCUGCGGGGACGAGGACAACGACACCUGCGGCGUCUCCCUGUACAAGCAAUGCUGUGACUGCUGCGGCCUGGGGCUCCGCGUGCGGGCUGAGGGCCAGUCCUGUGAGUCCAACCCCAACCUCGGCUACCCCUGCAACCACGUCAUGCUCUCCUGCUGUGAGGGUGAAGACCCCCUCAUUGUGCCCGAGGUCCGCCGGCCUCCAGAGCCUGAGGCCGCACCACGGAGAGUUUCAGAGGCAGAGUUGGCGAGCCGGGAGGCCCUGUCGCUGGGCACGGAGACCGAGCUGCCCAACAGCCUGCCGGGCGACGACCAGGACGAGUGCCUGCUCCUCCCGGGGGAGCUGUGCCAGCACCUGUGCAUCAACACGGUGGGCUCCUACCGCUGCGCCUGCUUCCCCGGCUUCUCGCUGCAGGAUGACGGCCGCACCUGCCGCCCAGAUGGCGGCCCCUCCAAGCCGGAGGCCACAGAGGAGUCUGCGCAGAGGCCCGAGUCCUCCCAGGAGGCCCCCAACACCAUCUCAUUGUCCGUGCCGCAUCCCAACAUCUGCCAAGACAACGGGCCCUGCAAGCAGGUCUGCAGGGUCGUCGGGGACGCGGCCGUGUGCUCCUGCUUGCCCGGCUUUGCCAUCAUGGCGGACGGCGUGUCCUGUGAAGACCAAGAUGAGUGCCUGCUGGGCGCUCACGAUUGUAACCGGCGACAGUUCUGUGUGAACACCCUGGGAUCCUUCUACUGUGUCAACCACACAGUGGUCUGUGCUGAGGGCUUUAUCCUCAAUAUGCACAGGAAGUGCGUGGACAUCAACGAGUGCGUGACAGACCUGCACACGUGCAGCCGCGGCGAGCACUGUGUGAACACGGUGGGCUCCUUCAUCUGCUACAGCGCCCUGAGCUGCCAGCCAGGGUACAAGGUCGAGGAGGGCCGGUGUACAGAUGUGGACGAGUGUGAGCUGGGCACACACAACUGCCCGGCGGGCGCCGUGUGCCGCAACACCGAGGGCUCCUUUCACUGCCAGGCUCGGGAGCGCUGCCUGGAGGGCUUCCUGCAGGACCCCGAGGGCAACUGCGUGGACAUCAAUGAGUGCACGUCUCUCUCCGAGCCGUGUCGGUCCGGCUUCAACUGCAUCAACACGGUGGGCUCCUACACGUGCAGACGGAGCCUGGUGAUCUGUGGACGUGGCUACCACGCCAGCGAGGACGGGACCAAGUGUGUGGACGUGAACGAGUGUGAGACGGGUGUGCACCGCUGCGGCGAAGGCCAGACGUGCCACAACCUCCCCGGCUCCUACCGCUGCGACUGCAAGCCUGGCUUCCAGCGGGACGCCUUCGGCCGCGCCUGCAUCGAUGUGAACGAGUGUGAGGCCCAGCGCUGCAGCCAGGAAUGCGCCAACAUCUACGGCUCCUACCAGUGCUACUGCAGGCACGGCUACCAGCUGGCCGAGGACGGGCACACCUGCACAGACAUUGACGAGUGCACCCAGGGCGCCGGUGUCCUCUGCACCUUCCAGUGCAUCAACGUGCCAGGGAGCUACCAGUGUGCAUGCCCGGAGCCCGGCUACACCAUUACGGCCAACGGCAGGUCCUGCAAGGACCUGGACGAGUGCGUGCUGGGCACCCACAACUGCUCCGAGGGUGAGACCUGCCAUAACGUCAAGGGCGGCUUCCGCUGCCUGCGCUUCGACUGCCCUCCGAACUACGUCCGAGUCUCCGAAAUGAAAUGCGAGCGCACGCAGUGCCACGACUUCCUGGAGUGCCAGAACGCGCCCGCGCGCAUCACGCACUACCUGCUCAACUUCCAGACCGGGCUGCUGGUGCCCGCGCACAUCUUCCGCAUCAGCCCCGCGCCCGUCUUCGCCGGCGACACCAUCGCGCUGACCAUCACCAGGGGCAACGAGGAGGGCUACUUCGGCACGCGCCGCCUCAACGCCUACACGGGCGUGGUCUUCCUGCAGCGCGCCGUGCGCGAGCCGCGCGACUUCGCGCUGGACGUGGAGAUGAAGCUCUGGCGGCAGGGCUCCGUCACCACCUUCCUGGCCAAGAUGCACAUCUUCUUCACCACCUUCGCCCUGUGAGGCGGCGCCCGCCGUGGGCAGCGCGUGGAGCCCGGGUCCCCCCGCUGGUCCGGCGCCCUGGCCGCGCGCCCGCCUCCACGCUCCCGCCGGCCGCGUGGGGGACCGGCGCUGUGGCCG
rnacentral:lncRNA from 1 species